UACGGGGGGGACAAGCGUUGUUCGGAAUUACUGGGCGUAAAGGGCUCGUAGGCGGCCAACUAAGUCGGAUGUGAAAUCCCCAGGCUCAACCUGGGAACUGCAUCCGAUACUGGAUGGCUUGAAUCCGGGAGAGGGAUGCAGAAUUCCAGGUGUAGCGGUGAAAUGCGUAGAUAUCAUGAGGAAGACCAGUGGCGAAGGCGGGUCUCUGGACAGUUCCUGACACUGAGGCACGAAGGCCAGGGGAGCAAACGGG
rnacentral:rRNA from 1 species